rnacentral:rRNA from 1 species
GAUCAACGCUGGCGGCGUGCCUAACGCAUGUAAGUCGAACGCAGAGCCUUUCGGGGCUCUGCGUGGCGAACGGCUGAGGAACACGUACGAACCUGCCCGCUUGUGGGGAAUAACGCACCGAAAGGUGUGCUAAUACCGCGUACGCUCACAUGGCAACAUGUGAGGAAAGUCGCAAGACGCUGGCGGAGGGGCGUGCGGCCCAUCAGGUUGUUGGUGGGGUAAGGCCUACCAAGCCGACGACGGGUAGCUGGUCUGUGAGGACGAUCAGCCAGACUGGGACUGCGAAACGGCCCAGACACCUACGGGUGGCAGCAGCGAGGAAUCUUCCACAAUGGGCGAAAGCCCGAUGGAGCAACGCCGCGUGGA